rnacentral:lncRNA from 1 species
UACACUUCUCUUCUCAUAAAUCUCCUUUAAUCUGUAAAUCAUCAACCAAUAUCAGUUUUCUAUGCUUUCAUCCAUGUUCCGGCUUCCGUCGAUUGAUACUUUAUAGCUAUACAUGAAGAGAUCGAUAUGCAUGUAGUCCUACUCCUCCCAAAAUCAAAAUCAUUUAUUUUUUCACAAACGUCAGGUUUUGGAUUUGAUCCUUGGCCCCUGAUCCCAUUAUUUGCUCUCUGUGUAUAAUUAUUUGAAAUUAAACGGGCUAAAC